rnacentral:rRNA from 1 species
UCAGGCCUAACACAUGCAAGUCGAGCGCGCCCUUCGGGGUGAGCGGCGGACGGGUUAGUAACGCGUGGGAACGUACCCUUCUCUAAGGAAUAGCCUCUGGAAACGGAGAGUAAUACCUUAUACGCCCUUCGGGGGAAAGAUUUAUCGGAGAGGGAUCGGCCCGCGUUAGAUUAGAUAGUUGGUGGGGUAACGGCCUACCAAGUCUACGAUCUACAGCUGGUUUUAGAGGAUGAUCAGCAACACUGGGACUGAGACACGGCCCAGACUCCUACGGGAGGCAGCAGUGGGGAAUCUUGGACAAUGGGCGCAAGCCUGAUCCAGCCAUGCCGCGUGAGUGAUGAAGGCCCUAGGGCCGUAAAGCUCUUUCGCCUGUGAUGAUAAUGACAGUAGCAGGUAAUGAAACCCCGGCUAACUCCGUGCCAGCAGCCGCGGUAAUACGGAGGGGGUUAGCGUUGUUCGGAAUUACUGGGCGUAAAGCGCGCGUAGGCGGGUUGUUAAGUUAGAGGUGAAAUCCCGGGGCUCAACCCCGGAACUGCCUUUAAUACUGGCAACCUAGAGUUCGAGAGAGGUGAGUGGAAUUCCGAGUGUAGAGGUGAAAUUCGUAGAUAUUCGGAGGAACACCAGUGGCGAAGGCGGCUCACUGGCUCGAUACUGACGCUGAGGUGCGAAAGUGUGGGGAGCAAACAGGAUUAGAUACCCU